rnacentral:rRNA from 1 species
UGGGGGAUAUUGCACAAUGGGGGAAACCCUGAUGCAGCGACGCCGCGUGUAGGAAGACGGUCCUCUGGAUUGUAAACUACUGUCUUCGGGGACGAUAAUGACGGUACCCGAAGAGGAAGCUCCGGCUAACUACGUGCCAGCAGCCGCGGUAAUACGUAGGGAGCGAGCGUUGUCCGGAAUUACUGGGUGUAAAGGGAGCGUAGGCGGGAAGGCAAGUUGGAUGUGAAAACUAUCGGCUCAACCGAUAGACUGCAUUCAAAACUGUUUUUCUUGAGUAUAGAUGAGGUAGGCGGAAUUCGUGGUGUAGCGGUGAAAUGCUUAGAUAUCACGAAGAACUCCGAUUGCGUAGGCAGCUUACUAAACUAUAACUGACACUGAGGCACGAAAGUGUGGGUAUCAAACA